rnacentral:lncRNA from 1 species
UUCGGUUAAGCCAUAUUUUGAAGUUGUGAUUAGUAAAUGUUACAAUAAUUGGUAUGUGAUUUAAAAUAGAUUGAGUUAAAUAAAUUGAUUGAAUAAAUAUGAUAAAUUGAAGAACUGCUCGUCCGUGCAUUGCACGGAGACGGGCUAAAAUCCUAGUUCAUAUAUAUAGAGAUAUACCUCAUCUCCCUGUAUCCGAAUAACCAAUUUGUAUCACACAAAUGGACAUUAUCAUCACAUUCAUAAUCACACUUACCUACAUACUCCUCCUUCUCCCUUACAAACUUUCCAUAGCAGCUGAGGACUCCAUUCAUUUAUCACAACCCCUCACCCAUGGCCAAACCUGGGUGUCCCAACAUGAACCUUUGAACUCGUUUCUUC